AUUGAACGCUGGCGGCAGGCCUAACACAUGCAAGUCGAGCGGAUGAAGGGAGCUUGCUCCUGGAUUCAGCGGCGGACGGGUGAGUAAUGCCUAGGAAUCUGCCUGGUAGUGGGGGAUAACGUCCGGAAACGGGCGCUAAUACCGCAUACGUCCUGAGGGAGAAAGUGGGGGAUCUUCGGACCUCACGCUAUCAGAUGAGCCUAGGUCGGAUUAGCUAGUUGGUGGGGUAAAGGCCUACCAAGGCGACGAUCCGUAACUGGUCUGAGAGGAUGACCAGUCACACUGGAACUGAGAUACGGUCCAGACUCCUACGGGAGGCAGCAGUGGGGAAUAUUGGACAAAGGGCGAAAGCCUGAUCCAGCCAUGCCGCGUGUGUGAAGAAGGUCUUCGGAUUGUAAAGCACUUUAAGUUGGGAGGAAGGGCAGUAAGUUAAUACCUUGCUGUUUUGACGUUACCAACAGAAUAAGCACCGGCUAACUUCGUG
rnacentral:rRNA from 1 species